CUGACCUCAAAUCAGGCGGGACUACCCGCUGAACUUAAGCAUAUCAAUAAGCGGAGGAAAAGAAACUAACAAGGAUUCCCCUAGUAACUGCGAGUGAAGCGGGAAAAGCUCAAAUUUAAAAUCUGGCAGCCUCUGGUUGUCCGAGUUGUAGUCUGGAGAAGUGCUUUCCGCGCUGGACCGUGUACAA
rnacentral:rRNA from 1 species